rnacentral:lncRNA from 1 species
AUGGACACAUACAUUGGACACACACACAUAUUGGAUACACACACGCUGGACACAGACACACACACAAACACUGGACACAGACACAUACACACACACUGGACACACACACACACACACACUCACAUUGGACACACACACACACACACACACUGGACACAAACACACACACACACAUUGGAUACAGACACACACACAAUCACUGGAUACAGACACACACACACAUUGGACACACACACACAUUGGACACACACACACAUUGGACACACACACACACAUUGGACACACACACAUAUACACAUUGGACACACACACACAGACACACAAACAUACACACACACACACACACACAUACUCAUUGGACACACACACAAACACGCACACAUUGGACAUAUACACAAACACACUGGACACUCACACACACACAGACACACACAUAGGACACUGGACACACACACACACACACACACACACACUGGACACAUAAACACACACACACAUUGGACACACACACAGACACACACAGACAUACACAUUGGACACAUACACACACACACACACACACACACACAUUGGACACACACACACACUGGACACACACACACACUGGACACACACACACACACACACACACUGGACACAUACAUUGGACACACACACAUAUUGGACACACACACAAACACUGGACACAGACACACACACACACACACACACACUGGACACAGACACACACAAACGCACACACUGGACACACACACACACACACACACACACUGGACACAAACACACACACACAUAUUGGAUACAGACACACACACAAUCACUGGAUUAAGACACACACACAUUGGACACACAAAUUGGACACACACACACUGGACACACACCUUGGACACACACACACACACACACACACAUUGGACACACACACAUUGUACACACACACAUACACACACAUUGGACACACACACAUACACACAGGCACAUUGGACACACACUCACAUUGGACACACACACACACACACACACACACUGGACACACAAACACACUGGAUACACGCACUGGACACAAACACACUGGACACACACACACACAUUGGACACACACACACAUAUUGGAUGCACACACACAUGCACACACACUGGACACACACACACACACACACACACACACUGGACACACACACACACACAUGCUGGACACACACACACACACACAUUGGACGCACACACACAAGCACACACAUUGGACACACACUCACAUUGGACACACACACACACACACACACUGGACACACAAACACACUGGAUACACGCACUGGACACACACACACUGGACACACACACACGCGUCAUCCUAUAAUUGUGAGGACCUUGCCACAGGACUUUCAAAUGAGGACCAUCAUUUCUGAUUGGGAACAAACAGACACCUCAUUCCAGCACUAA